rnacentral:lncRNA from 1 species
CACUUCCCCGCGCCCCUUCCGGGAUUCAGCACAGUGAUUGCUGGCUGGUUUUUUCCUUGCUUGAUACCCAUCCUGAGCUGUUUAUGUCCUUGUGCCUCUCUUCACAAACCUGCUGGUCUCCCUCUGCCACCUGGGAUGCAGUGCAGUGGCCUGACCACAGGUUCAAGGAAAAGUUAGUGGAAGCCGUUAUCCAUGUCAACAUUGAACCAGAAGAGCAUGAUUUGCAAGAGGAACUGCUACACAUUUUACACUUAUUUACUCCAACCUUUCCUGCUAAUUCCAGGUUUAUUGUAAAACCACUGAUCCCUUCAUUUGAGCUCGACUUCCCUGCACUUAGUUUUGAAUUUUUCCCCUGUCCAAUAGUAAGACACACACACAGAGAAGAACAACAAGAACAAGAAGAGAAUUGCAAUGAUGUGAAAACACGAUAACACAUGUAGAGCAGAGCACUGUGCACCAGUUACUAAUGCCAGAAGAGGACUCUCACUAUAUGGAGGGUAAUGAAGAUCAUCACAAUACCAGCCACCAGGAAUAGAAGUCCAGAUACUUCUGCCCACUGUCUGAGAAGACAGAAUGACUGAUGACAGAAGCACCUGCGAUCUUCUUCUUGUGCUGUGGGCUUCAGGGGAAUCCAAGAGUUCCUGGCAAAGAGGAUCUAAUGAAGACUGACAUUGAUCAAUAAAGGCAUGGGGUUAAAAGAGCAACAAUAAGAAUACCUUAAAGUUGUACUCAGAAGAUAGGAGCUAUCUCUGCUUCCUUUCAGAAACAUCAUUAUUACCUUGAAUCAGAGCCUGCCAGAAGCAUUUUGCACAACAAUUGUAAGAAGAGACUGAAACUUCAGAAACACUUUUAGAUCUGCAUUUCCAAACAACAACCAAAACUGCUGGAUGCAAGGUGGCUGCUUACACUACAGACCUGUUACAUAUAUUCCAACCCCAUAAUGCUAGGGGUUUACAAGGAUAAUAUUUGUGAACUUUCACAUUCUAUGUAGCGGUCACAAUGAAGUCCUCUAAAGAUCUCGAUGGAAAGUUCAAGACAAAAUCAGUUUAAGAAUUUAGAAAAUCUUAUCGCUUCUCGGCCUUUUGGCUAAGAUCAAAUGAAGAAUUUAGAAAAUCUUGGGACUUCUUUAUUCCAUCUGUGCAUACGCCAUUUGAAUUUGAAAACAUUUUGAGGACUGUUUGAUGUGAAGUCUGAGCUGACACUAACAUCAGAGACAUGAAAUGCCAUUUUCAUCUUCUUAGUAGAGAGGGAACUUAUGAAGG